ensembl:lncRNA
UCCUCCUUGCUGCUACACACUUGACUGUGCUUCCUKGAAAGCUGCAGGGGUACAUCAGCAGGGCUCAGCAUGAGUUUAUGUAUGUCAGUGACAUAUGAGUAUAAUACAUGAAGUGGCUUCCCCCACACACACACCUUUGCAGGCUCCAGGAUGCUGACASAGCUCCCAUUUGGACUCUGGAGUCCCAUUGAGAUCAUGACAGCAAUGUUUAUGUGCUAUUCUAAUGCUGGUUUUAGUAGCAUAAGUGCUUUUUAAUGCAUAGCAUUACAGCAAGUGUGUCCUAUUCUCUCCCUUACUGAAUGGCUGUCUGGAGGGAUGUAAUUCCAGCUUCUGCCUCGACAUGCAGUUAUUUACAAGCACAGUUACAUGUCCACAUCAGGCAUGGUUAAAGCCACUGCUGAGCUUUACUUAGUUAAUUUGGCAUGCACCACAUGAGAAUCACCUUGACAGAAUAACUGUUGUCAUCCCCAACACACUCAAGGACCCCGUAACUUCAUCGAGAGGGCAACAGGACGUCAGAAGCACACCCAUAGGGAGGWUAAUGCAGUGACGAGCAGCAGUGUCACCCAAGGGGACCAUCACAAGGUCCUACCCUCUGGCAUGCAAGAACCCUGCAGGACACCUGCAGCAUGUCGUGUGGGGUGGCCAGCCUUGUGGUAGCUCCUUGGCCACUGGUUUGCUGAAUACACCCACACUGGCUUCUGGCUAGGAGUUUGCAGACACAGUUGYAGACUUUGGCCAGGAAUUGGCUCCUACAGCCUCUUGCUGUCCAACAUGAAACUCCGCUGSGGAAGAGAACUCAGCUUGAAGUGAUAUAUCUAACAAAGUUACUCWGUACAGUUAUUUUACAAGGSAUUGCCUGUUCUGACAGUGUUUUCCYGAACCUUUGUGUUUCCUGCUCCAGACAGCACCAUCUCAUGAGGAACCGGAAGCAUCUUUGUUAUUUGGAAAAGAGAAGGCUGCAGAGCUUAGUUCAUCCUGGAGGGAGUAGAAGUCCUGUUGGAAAACAGCAAAACGUCCUUGGCCCUAGCUGCCUGAAAGACAGAGGUAAAGAACGUGUGAUGGUAGCCAGUGCCUCAGGCACUAGGGGCAUUUUGGAUAUCCCAGUUGCCUUUGGGGAGGUUGCCAGUACACUCACCCAGUUCUGUGGGAAGCUGGCUGCCCCUUUGCCUAGCACCCGGUGGCAGAUUGCUCAGUGAAAAUCAUCAGCUUCCAUGUGGCUGCUGCUGCUUUCACUGCCAUGAAGAACUGCAGCCAUUUKCAGCACUGGACUUCCAGCUAAGCACUGGUUCUAGUGGAGAUGCUUCCCAGGCAGGUUUCAGCAGCCCUCCUUGUAGAGAAGAAAUCCAGCUUCCCAUUCAAAGGGACCAUAUGCCCUGGGCCUCCUCCUGUUCAGAGUGCACUUAAAGCUCAGCUGCUGUCUCUUCCCAGGGCCAGUGUCUUCCAGGGCUUUCRCUUGGGAUCUUGCCUCUCCCAGGAACUAGGAGGGAUGGCUCAGAGCAAACAGCCUUUACCCUCCUUACCAAGGUCCUCACAUUCUGGGUGAGUUCCUAGUCUGAUGCCACCUUGUCCAGGUGGCAAGCAGGAAUGUGGCAGCUGCAUGCAAGAGCUGGAAUAUAAAACCAAAUAACUAAAUACACAUGUGUAAUUAAUAAGCAAAUCUCAAAAGCCAGAGUUGUGUUUGACUGUAAAGAAAUGCUGUUGACUGCUUUUCUGCAUCURCCUWUAUAACUGCUUUCUGAUGGCUGUUUUUCUAUAUCCAUUGUGUUGCUACAGAGGUUCCUGUUUGCCCUGAAGUUCAGCAGCAGAUGAAUUACAAAGGCCAUUUCCCUGGACAUUCCUUCAGGCUAAGAAAGUGAAAAGGCCAGAGGGGAUGCGAGAGAUGCUGGAUGUCACAUAAGAGGCAGAGAAGCAAAAUGGCUCUUUGGGGCUCCUGUGGUUGUGUUCAUCUGAGGUGAUGAUCCGUGCCCCAUGCCUUUGGCUAGUCAAACUCCCCUGGCUUSAGCAUACAACAGCCAACAGUUGCUCCAGCCUUUAUCUCAGGAAGAGCCCAAAGCAKGGGCUGUUGGAAGAAGCCUGGUGACUGGGAGCUUUCUUCUCACUGGGCUGGCAGGGCAAUGAUGUUCAUGGCUUUAUUUGGGGCCUGUUGUGACUUGCAUUGAUGAAAGGAUGUUCAAAACUAUUGCCUGCUCUGUCAACUUGCWCUGUCGGGGGGAUGGAGGCUGAGGGAAAACUGAUGAGAAAAUAUUCACUAGCCCAACUACUAAGUGAGAUCUCUCUAAUGGAGAAUUUAAUCUCCAAGACAUUGUUAUCUCUGUUAGGUUUUCUGUAUCUUAGGUACUCAAUAAAUGAUUGCUAAAGUAAUUCA